rnacentral:misc_RNA from 1 species
GCUUCCUUUGCAUUCAAAAUUUCACAAGCAUUCACAUUACAGGCUGAUGCACCUUCAAAGUUAGCAGGAUCCUUGUCGGCUUCAUCCUCCAAUUUACUGAUUCUGGCAGAAGCCGAUUGAGGUGUUUCUACAUUCGACCAUAAUGAUUUAUAUGAUGGAACCCAGGAAAACUUCCCAUUGUGAUCAACAGAGCCUUUUCUGCGGC